ACCUGGGUGGCUCAGUCGGUUGAGUGUCCGACUUCCGCUCGGGUCAUGAUCUCACGGUCUGCAGGUUCGAGCCCUGCGUCAGGCU
rnacentral:tRNA from 1 species